rnacentral:piRNA from 1 species
UGGAGAAUGGGACAGAGUAUGGGC